GGAGACACAACUCAGUUCUUAACACACACAAAUCAGGAGCCACCAUAAGGCCUCGCGGAGCAGAGCUCCCACCGCAGUGAGCCUGGGAACGGUCAGCAGCGGAUCAGCAGGACUGGGGCUGUGGGGGGCCGUGCAGGGAUGCGGAUGGAGGCCUGCAGCUCUGGGCAACGGCGUGGAUGACAGAGGAAACAGCAACUUGUCCUUCCGCCCCGGUCCGCCCCGGGCGAGCGGCGGAACAGGCUCCAAAGUGGCCCCGGCUGGUGUCAGAGCCUGAGUUCAAGGCAGUCCAGCGUCAGCUACGAGAGCCCCUGUGGGGGUCGGGGCCAGGGGGACACAGCUCAAGCCUGGGAGGGGUGAACUCAAAGCACCUCCCAACAGAAGACGCGUCACUCACCAAAAGCGACGUCCCAGUGAAGAUCCUGGCAGAUGCCACCUCAACCAAGCGGUCAGAGCAAACGUCAGAACUCUGACCAACGGGCCACAGCGAGCCACCUGAGAGGAAGGAAGGAAGGCAGGCGGAGACGCAGAAUGGGUAUCUGAUCGGGAGGAAACAGCUGAGAAACCUAAGGUAACUGCCUGUAACCUUCAAAGGUGUCCAGGUCAUGACGUCAGGGAAAGCCUGAGGAAGGUUCUGGACGGAAGGGGACGAAAGAAACGUGAUGACAAGUCAGUACAACGGAAGGUCCCAGACCAGAUCCUUCUGGUUUUGUGACUUUAUGGGAUCAACUGGAAAAACAUGCUUGCCUGGGACUGAGGACGCCACGGCGUGACCCGUCCAUGUCACGCUGCCGACUGUGAGGAUCCGGCCGUGGUGAUGCCGGGGAGGGUCCCCGCGUGUGGGAAACACACUCCGAGGUGUCUGGAGCUGGCAGAGCAUUACGGAGGCAACUCGUUCUCAAAUGCUCCAGGAAAAGAAGUUGUUCAUGCUGAACGGGAAAUUUUUUUUUUUUUUUUUUUUUUUUUUUUUUUGGUCUUUUUGCCUUUUCUAGGGCUGCUCCCGUGGCAUAUGGAGGUUCCCAGGUGUGGCCCUAAACAAACAAACAAACAAAAAAGGUAAAAGCUAAAGAAAAUCAAGAAAAUUAGAAUUAAAAAGUCAGCCUGUGGUCAUGGGGGAGGGAUCUGCAUGGAGCAAGGCAGGGGUGGGUUGAAUUCUGGGGUGCCGACAAGGUUCUAUUUCUGAAGAGAUUACUGGUGCGGGCUUCCUAACCAGUCCUUAAAGCGUACCUGUGAAUUAUGCACCAUCUGUCUGCACAGGCUACCUACUAGGCAAUGCUUUGAACUCUGGGGACCCCAGCAGGCCCGCUUAUCUCCCAGUUGCGCACUCGGCUUGUUCAAGCACUGUUUGCUAGAUACAUAAACAUGAGCACAUAAAGGAGGAUUUGUUUACGGAAACACAAUUAUAGAGGCUUCCAGAAACAAGGUGACCAUUAAAACCCAAGCUCAGAGGGCCUCGGGAUUAGGACCAGCGCCCUUUUCCCUCUGGGGUCUCCUCUUCUCACCAGCCGGGCUCACUCUUGAGCUGUGCUUUCCUAAAGGUGCUAAGACAACCCCACAAGGUCCGCGCAGAGCUCGGAAGCUGCACCCCAGCCAGGGAGGGGUCCCUGAAACCAGCCGGCGACCCCGGCCCUAGCGGUUAUUUCUCGGACAGAACUUGCGUGGGGAAGGCGAGGGUAGGUGCCUGGGGGGCGGCCAAAGCCCCCAUGCCAGCCUCAGGCUCCGAGGCCAACCGACCCACCUGUCAGCGGGCCCACCUGGGCCCCAGCGUCGCAGUCAGGCUCCGGGCGGAGAG
rnacentral:lncRNA from 1 species